AACGAACGCUGGCGGCAGGCUUAACACAUGCAAGUCGAGCGCACCGCAAGGUGCGCGGCAGACGGGUGAGUAACGCGUGGGAAUCUACCCAACCCUACGGAAUAACCCAGGGAAACUUGGACUAAUACCGUAUACGCCCUUUUGGGGAAAGAUUUAUCGGGGAUGGAUGAGCCCGCGUUGGAUUAGCUAGUUGGUGGGGUAAAGGCCUACCAAGGCGACGAUCCAUAGCUGGUCUGAGAGGAUGAUCAGCCACAUUGGGACUGAGACACGGCCCAAACUCCUACGGGAGGCAGCAGUGGGGAAUAUUGGACAAUGGGCGCAAGCCUGAUCCAGCCAUGCCGCGUGAGUGAUGAAGGCCUUAGGGUUGUAAAGCUCUUUCAGUAGGGAAGAUAAUGACGGUACCUACAGAAGAAGCCCCGGCUAACUUCGUG
rnacentral:rRNA from 1 species